UCCACAUCCGCUUGCAUGCUUUGCAUACUGGCACUGACUUAUAUCUCACAGGGUUUGACAUUUCGAAGUUAGUUUGUACAUUAUUGAAGAAACAGUUUUCUAUCGUCAUUCAUUCAUCGUUCUUAAGUUUAGAUAAUUAGCUUUGGAGAAUAAGCAUUUGACUGGUCUUAUGGUCACAGUUGGUUGCAUCCUGUAUAAUUUAAUCACAAUAUAAUUACUGGAGAAUUUGCAGUGAAAUUAGCUAAAGGUCACAGUUGGCUGCCUACUUUAUAUCCUGGUCACAGUGAAGUCCUUGAACUAUAAAUCUGGUUGCUUUUCCUGGAUACAAAAAACAGAUUAUACUUGGUAGGAGUCAUUAGAAAACAAAGAAGAAUAUAUUGUAGAUGUAUUAGAUAUUUUAUUCAUAAUAAUAUAAUUUUGUUUGAUCUUAAUUAUGGAUGUAUAUUACCAUGAGAAGAAGGGAAGGCUUACAUGUAUGCCCUUGCCCAUGUUGGCCCAGAGCAUAUGAACCUUUUAAAAUGAUACAUCUUUAUGUAAGAAAAAAUGUUUGUUUUGAUUACUGCAUUGCCACUAUUAAGGAAAGAGCUAUUUCAGUAUUAUGUAUGGAUUCACAUUGAUAUGAGUCACAACAUUGUUACCUUGAAAAAUUGAAAUUAUAAUUAUACAUUGCUCUUCAACUUCAUACUUGACCUUUAUAAAAAAAUAUAUUAUAGCAUCACUGUUGAGUUUUUUUGUAGAUGAAGUGCACGUCUGACACAAACAUCAAAUUUCAAUACUGGUAUCUACAUUUAUGAUGAGUUUAUUGUAAGGUCUUUUAUGAUGAGAUGGAUAAACUUCAACCCAAAUAAA